UUGUGAAAUACAAAUUAGAAUGUGUGGUAAAAGUGAAAGCUAAGGAGGACUAGUUUCUCAGUCAUUCCUUGUAAGAAAAAACGCAUAACAAGUCCUUGUACUUCCAUCAAACAAAUGAUAGUGCAAGUUCCCAUAAGUUAAAAACAUAAAUGCAAAUGAACAGAUGCGCAAGGCCAGAAUAUUCUUUUUCUUUUGGCUGCCAAUUGCAUCCAACCAAAAGUCAACUAUCAUAUGAAAAGAAAAGGUGAACUCUUCUUCUGGGAGCCAAUUGCCUCCAACCAAAAGUCAGUUAUCAUAUGAAAAGAAAAGGUGAACUUCCAGAUGAACAAGGACAGAACAUUCUUUCUUCUGGGUGCCAGUUGCACCCAACCACCAUAAGCCAGUUAUCAAAUGAAAAGAAAAGGUGAACUUUUGAAGCCUCUAUGAACAACUGCAUAUACCAAAACAGUUCCUUGAUAGAAUAGUAAUCAUGUUCAGAUUAUCCACAGUACAAAGGAUGCUCAACACGACGAAGUAAAUAGCAGGAAUUGUCCAAAGAUGGUAAAUAGAGCUAUAACAGAAAAGGUAAAA